rnacentral:lncRNA from 1 species
GCGCAAGUCAAACAUGAAAGAAAAGCUCAGGCUAGCAAAGGCCACCUGCAGCCUAGAUGUCUACCCUGGCCAGUCUGUAAUAAGACAGCCAACGCCCCUUUCUGGUACUAUGUGUGUCAUCAGACAAGGCCAAGUAGGGACAUUACUGCCCACUCCCCUUCCUGCCAUGGUGUUAGUGGAGACCACAGGGAGAGAUUGGUUUUCUGUCCCCAACCAGCAGCAAGAACACUGCUUCCCUGCCCUAGUGGGAUAGUGUCAGAGGAAGCCUAGUGGAAACUCAGGACUUUAGUAACAACACACAGGUAACAAGGCCACCUACUUCUAUGGGGGUCGUUAGAGUUCUGAGGACACACUCCUGACUACCUACCUUUCAAUUUCUUCACCAGAGAAGCUCACUUCUGAAGCAAGGGCAGGGUCCACCACAGACUUCUCUUCCUCGUACACUCAGAGAGCGGCUUAAUGUGUACAGAGAGGGAGACUGCCUAACAAUGAAGAUUAAUUCACCAAGAAGACAUAGCAAUCCUCAAAGUGUAUAUGCACCAAACUACAAAGCUUAAAAAUAUGCAAAGUAAAAACUGAGAAACAAAAGGAGAAAGUCAAAUCCACAAUUAAUUGGAUACUUCAACAUCUCUCAACAAUUGACAGACCAAACUGACAGAAAAUCAGCACAUAUAUAGAACUCAAUAACAACAUUAACCAAAAGGAACUUAUGAACGUUUACAGAAUACUCCACCCAACAAAAUCAGAGUAUACUUUCUUUUCAAUAGUCUAUUGAUCACAGAACAAAUAUAGACAGUAUAAUGGGUCACAAUAAAAAACCCUUACAAGUUAAAAAAUUGAAAUCAUAUGGAGUUUUUUGACGAUCAACGUAGAAACCAAUAAUAGAACAGUAACAGAAUAAUGUCAAAUAAUUAGAAAGUAAACAACACACUUCUAAAUAAUGUAUGUCUCAAAGAGGAAGUAUCAAAGGCAAA